rnacentral:lncRNA from 1 species
AAGCAGGUAUUGACAUGGGGGUUAAUCCUACUGGUUUAUGGUCUGAGCUGAGUCCCCGUGUCCCUCUGCUCCAGGGCAGCCAGGCCAGUGGGCUGGAGAACAAAUUCAGAGAUGCUCAGGAGGUCUUCUGCCUGGCAUGGAAAAAGUUGCAAGAAGAGGUUUCUCCCACUCUAACAAUAAGAAGAAUCCAGGCCCUCUGCAAAAUCAUGUAUUUUUAAGUCUGUCAAAAGCUGAGGACAUAAGGUAUGCUGAUUAAUUAAGGUCCAAAGGAUGACAGCCCCUCCCAGAAGAGCUGGAACACAUGAUUGUUUCAUCUUCAUCUUGGGCUGAGCUGCAGCAAGAGGAGGCGGGCAUGACAGAAGCAAGUGAGAAGAAAACAGCUGAAGUUGGAAUGAAUUUUUAAGAGCCAAAGAUGGGUAGCAUAACACUUUGGAAUUUGUGAAAGCCCCAGGCAAAGGAGGUGUCUUCAUGCUUCUUUUGGCUGGCAGGGAGGAUUGGGGGCAGGACAGGAGAAUAAAGAGAAAAGGUACACAAACCUGCCUGAGUCUAUAGUUCAAGCAGGAGAACCAAUACAAACUCUCCUGUUUCCUGACCUUCCAAGAAUUAAAGGCAGAAGUUAUCUGCCACCAGGAGAGGGCAGGAGUGUUGAGAAAGGCCCACCCCUGAGGCAGAGGCAUACAAGGCCUGCCUAGCACUGAGGGCCAGUGCAGGAAAACCAAGUGGAACCCUCUUAGAUACAACAUGGAAAAGAGUCAGUGAUUAUCUGCUACUGGGUAAGGGCCAGAAACCUCCCCAAGCUCUGGUUCCGCACUGAGCAUGAGACAGUGUAAACUCCCAUUGGAGAACAGACAGGAGGGUGAAGAGUGAUCCUCUCUGAGGCACAGAUAUAUAGAGCUAAAUGCUGGGCUUUGCACAAAGCACCAGGCAGCAGUGAACCACUAGGAGAGGCACAGGGAUGCUGAGAGAGACCUCUUCGGUAGUGCAGCAUUUAAGCCUGCUGAAGUUGGUGGUGGCAGAGGAGAAUUCAUAGAAUCUAUUAUAUUUGGCUUCACCCUAAGUAUUGGGCAGCCUGAGCAUGGGUCCACCACUAAGAAAAUUUGAAAUACAGACUAUGACUAAAGCAGUAAUGAAGUCUAAACCCAGCCUUGUUACAGACUCGAUACUAAUGAAACUUGUGUCAUUAACAGCCUGAUUGAAGAAAGGAAUUCUCCAUUUUAGGGAGUAUUUACCUCACAAAAUAUAUUUUGCACACACUGUGUAGCAUUCAGUAUAAACUAAUGGCACAUAACACAUUCUCCAAAUAAUGAUAUGGCUACUUGUCAAGAGAUAAAAUAAUCAAUAGAACCAGACCAAAGUUGGCCCAAAUGUUAAAAUUAUCAGACAGGAACUGUAAAAUAACUGUGAUAAAUAUGUUAAAAUGAUCUAGUGGAAAAGGUGGGCAACAUGCAUGACAGAGAAUUCCAUCAGAGUUAUGGAAAGUAUUAAAAAGAGCUAAAUGAAAAUACUAGAAAUGAAAAAUGAGAUGUCAGGCAUGAAAAUUUUGUUGGUGAAUUUAGGAAAUGGGACACAACUGAAGAAAGAAUCAAUAAAGACCUGUCAAUAGAAAUCACCUGAACAGAAACAAAAAGAGAAAAGAGUUUCAAAAAUGAAACAGCAUUUGAGCUAUAAGGGAUAAAACGAAAAAGUCUAAUGCACUUUUCAUUGGAAUCCUAGAAAAAAAAAUGAGAGAGAAAAGGGCAGAAAAAAAUAUUUGAAGAGAUAGGGACCAAAUAUUUUCCAAAACUAAUGAAAAAAAGUCAAACCACCAUAAGUCUAAGGAGCUUAGAUAACUCCAAUCAGGAUCAUUGUUAAAUUGCUGGAAAAGGACAAAGAAAAAUAUUUACCAUAGAUUUAUCAUAAACAUAGAGGAAUGAUGACAAGAAUGAGAAUUGACUUUUCAUUAGAAAUCCUAGAAACCAGAGGCAAUGGGAUGUCAUCUUUAGAGUGCCACAAGGAAAAACAAACCAACAAGCCAACCCAUGUCAACCUAGGAUUCUAUAUCCAGUGAAAAUAUACUUUAAAAAUGAGGAUGAAAUAGAGACAUAGUCACACAAACAACAGCUGAAAGAAUCAAUUUCCAGAAGAGCAGGAAAUGCUAAACGGAGUUCUAUGGGCUAAAAGAAAAUUAUUUCAAAAGACAACCUGGUCCUCCAGGAAGGACUAGUAUGAAUGAAAACACCAGAAAGAGUGAAUGAGACCAUAAAUUCAAAGCACUUUUAUGAGUCUUUAAAGAUAGUUGGUCAUUUGAAGUAAAAAUAACAAAGGAAUACGGAUGUUUAUUGCCUUUUAGAUCUAAAACCUAUGGCAACAAAGGCACAAAGGGUGAGAGUGUUGUAACUGCAAAUAUACUGUCAUUAGUUCCUAAGCUGUUCAGGAAGUGAUAAAAUAUUUUUUGAAAGUUAAGUGAUAAAUAUAAACAUGUAAUCUCUGGAGACAUCACUAAAAUAAAAUACAAAUAGGCAUGCCUAACAUCAGUAGGAAAGAUGAAAUGAAAUAUUAAAAAUACUGGCUUAAUUCCAAAAAUUCAGGAUAGGAGGAACAGAAAAACAAAGGGCAUGAAGGACCAAUAAUAAUCAAACACAAAUUUGAUAUAUUUAAAUUGAAAAUAUAUAAAUAAUUGAAUUGCAUGUAAAUGGAUUAACCUUCCCAAUUUAAAAGGCAGACAUUGUCAGACAAUAAAGAUACAAGACUGAACUACACCUGGUUUAUAGGAAAUACCCUUUAAGUAUAAAGUCACAAACAGAAGGAAAAUUAAAAGUUGGGAAAAGAUACCAUGCAAACACUAUGUGUAAGAAAACAGUUGGAGCUAUAUUAAUAUCAGAAUGAGUAGACUUCAAGGUGACAAAAAGAUUAAAGGGGCAUUUUAUGAUGACAUUAAGUGUUAAUUAAUCACAAAGACAUAAAAAUCUAAAAUUUAAACCUCAGAGCAAAGCUCCAAAACACAUGAAGCAAAAAUUGACAGACCUGAAGCUGAAUCAAAGCUGAAGAAUUUGAGACCAUUUUCUCAGUAAUUGAUCUAUUGAAAGAUGAUCGUGUGGAAGAUUUGAACAACACUGUCAAUAACCUGAUCUAAUUUACGUUUAUUGAACACUCCACCCAACACAAGCAAGACGCAUGUGCUUUCAAGUGUACUUGGAGCAUUCCUCGACAUAGACCAUAAGCCUGAUCAUAAAACAAGUCUAAAUAAAUUUUAAUAAUUUAAUUCUAAGAAUGUUCUCUGAACAAAAUGGAAUUAAAGUUGAAAUCAAUGACAAUAGGAUGCCUAUAGAAUCCCUCAAAUAUUUGGAAAUUUAAAAAAUUAUUGGACUACAUACAGGAGUUCGUGCAGGACUAAAUAGCCAAUGAGUCAAAGAGUCACAAAGGACAUUGGAAAAUACUUUAAUGAUAACAAAAAGAUGACAUCAAAAUUUGUGGGAUACAAUGCACAGGUUUUAAAUGUGUAGCUUUAAAUGCUUAUAUUAGAAAAAAAGGGUGUGAAAUCAGUUAUUUUUUUUUAUUAUAGUUGGUUUACAAUGUUCUGUCAAUUUCUGCUAUACAGCAAAGUGACCCAGUUAUACACACAUAUAUAGUCUUUUUCUCACUUUAUCCUCCAUCAUGUUCCAUCACAUGUGAUUAGAUAGAGGUCCCUGUGCUAUACAGCAGGAUCUCAUUGCUUAUCCACUCCAAAUACAAUAGUUUGCAACUACUAACUUCAAACUCCCAGUCCAUCCCACUCCCUCCCCCUACCCCUUGGCAACCACAAAUCUGUCCUCCAUGCCUAUGACUUGUUUCUUUUCUAUAAAUAGGCUCAUUUGUACCAUAUAUUAGAUUCCAGAAAAAAAAGUGAUAUCAUAUGGUAUUUGUCUUUCUCUUUCUGACUUACUUCACUUGGUAUGAGAGUCUAGUUCCAUCCAUGUUGCUGCAAAUGGCAUUAUUUUGUUCUUUUUUAUGGCUGAGUAGUAUUUCAUUGUGUAUAUAUACCACUUCUUCCUAAUCCAUUCAUCUGUGGAAGGACAUUUAGGUUGUUUCCAUGUUUCGGCCAUUGUGAAUAGUGCUGCAGUGAACAUAGGGGUGCAUGUAAUUUUCAAUGAAAGUUUUGUCCCCAAAUCAAUUACUUUUGUUUUCACCUUAAAACGUUUAUAAGAAAUGAGCUUGUAAAUGAGCUAAUUAAACCAAAAUAAGAGUGAAAAUCAGAAAACAGAAAUCAAAUACUAGAGCAAAUCAGAAAGAUUAAUAUUGAUUUGUUAAAAAGAUUAAUUGAUAAACACCUAGAAAAUUUGUUAUUUCAUGGAUAUAAAUUUCAGUUUUGCAAGAUGAAAAGUUCUGGAGAUCAAUUAACAACAGUGUAAAUAUACAUUCUGGGAAUUGGUUAACAACAAUGUGAAUAUACGUAAGACUUAGAAAUGCUUAUGAGGAUAGAUUUUACAUUUUGUUUUUUUUAACUGCUAAAAAAAUUAUAGGAGUUCCCGUUGUAGCUCAGGGGAAAUGAAUCUGACUAGCACCCAUGAGGACGCAGGUUCAAUCCCUGGCCUUGCUCAGUGGGUUAAGGAUCUGGCGUUGCCGUGAGCUGUGGUGUAGGUUGCAGACGCAGCUUGGAUCCCGUGGUGUUGUGGCUGUGACUGUGGCUGGCACCUACAGCUCUGAUGAGACCCCUAGCCUGGGAACCUCCACAUA